CCUGUCUCCUCCUGUGUACCCUUCACCCUUGGCCAAAGGAACCUGUCCAGACUGCUGCUGACCGCUGAUGGAGGCCACUCACUGGGGUGGAGGUGAUUGGCUUGGGUGUGCCGGGUUUGGUUACCAAGCUGUGGAUCCAUUUCUUGUGCAGGUCGCACCUUUAGGGAGGUUCAGCCACCCAGCCCUCUCCUGCUGUCCUGCUUCUGCUUCCUGACUUCCCUCCAGGACACGAGGUGGACAGCCCAGAGGCCCUGCUGCUGCUCGCUUAAAGAGCAGGUCAGGCCCCAGUGGACAAAGGGCCCUGCACCCUGAAGACAGCUUUGGGGUCCUCAGAACCACCCACAGUUCACAAAGCAAAAUAGCAGGGUUUACCAUGUCCAUAAGCAAACUGCUACUGCACUCAGGAAAGUGUCAGGAAUAAGAAAAUUGGGUUCAUUUUCCUCCUUGUGACUAAAUUUCAGUGGCUUGAAUCCUGCCCAUGGCAAUAUGUGACUUGGUAUGCAGGACCUCAACCAUCUUAACCCAAGCACUGCUUCAUCAGUAGACACUCCCGAAGAUGACCAGCCUGUACCUUUUCCUCACUUCAAGAGAAAUAUGGCGUUCCCUGCUGAAUGAAUGAAUGGAUCUGACCUCGGGUGUUUCACCUUUGACUUUCUGUGUUCUCAGGAUUUACUAAUGCAAGAUGUCGCAAGCAGAGUGACUUUCCUUGGUCUUGGUCUGUGCCUCAGGGACCAGCCAACACUGAAGAAUGCAGAGCAGCUGAUGAGAGACAGGCAUCUCUGUCUUUGAGGUGAUGGCAGGAGUCAUGGCUUGGUAUUUCUCCUCCCUCUGUGCAUGAGGUGUUCAAGGUGACACAAGCCAGCCGAAGGCAGGACAGGAAGAGGAUGGCUGAGGACCUUGCUGAGGGUCUUCUUGAACAAAUAGGGAGAAGGUGGCUUGCUCAGCUGAGAACCGGAGGCAGUUGUGUGAACGUGGGAGGGACGUCUGGUCUCUGGGUCUGCAGUGGCCCAUUGAAUGCCAAUCAAGGCAGGGCACUCACACCCCACCAGGGUGGCCUCAGCUAUUACAAAACAAGGCCACUGCCUCUGCCCAGCUAGAAGGAGGCCUGGGCUGGUGAUUCAUUCCUACUCAUGGAGAAUCUGCAAUGCUCCAGCUCUCCGAACCUCGUCUCUCAUGGGCUGAGUCUCCUCUAUCAGGACAGUC
rnacentral:lncRNA from 1 species